GCUUUUGUUAUUGUAUAAUUAAAAACGAAAUUAGAAUAUUUCUGCCCCCUCAGUCUCAUGAAGCCUAUAAUCCAGCUCCUGGUGACAAGUGGGAUGUCACAGCCGAGUACAGAGCAAGGAAGCUUCCCUCUCUGUUGCAACUAAAUUAAAACCCCAGCAAGAGGAAACAAAUGAUGGACACGUUGGUGCAGGGAACAUCAGCACACCUAUCCUCUCGGCCCAGGUGAAAACUACUCAGACGCUACGCUCAGGGACUGAAUGGCUGGUACAUCACUAAACACGGGGCAAGUGAGGGGU
rnacentral:lncRNA from 1 species